rnacentral:rRNA from 1 species
AGGACGAACGCUGGCGGCGUGCUUAACACAUGCAAGUCGAACGGUAAGGCCUUCGGGUACACGAGUGGCGAACGGGUGAGUAACACGUGGGUGAUCUGCCCUGCACUUCGGGAUAAGCUUGGGAAACUGGGUCUAAUACCGGAUAUGACUGCGCAUCGCAUGGUGUGUGGUGGAAAGCUUUUGCGGUGUGGGAUGGGCCCGCGGCCUAUCAGCUUGUUGGUGGGGUAACGGCCUACCAAGGCGACGACGGGUA